rnacentral:lncRNA from 10 species
ACUCUGACCCUUAGGCUGUAUUCACAGUAGACCCUGGUUUCACUUUUCAUGGUUUUAGUUAUCUAUAGACAACCACCACCUGAAAAUAGGUGAGUACAGUACAAUAAGAUGAUUUGAGAGAGAGAGAGACCACAUUCACAUAACUUUUUUUUUUUGAGACACAGAGUCUUGCUCUAUCCCCCAGGUUGGAAUGCAGUGGCACAAUCUCGACUUGCUGCAACCUUUACCUCUGGGGUUCAAGUGAUUCUCGUGCCUCAGCCUCCCAAGUAGCUGGGAUUACAGGCAUGCACCAUCACACCUGGCUAAUUUUUGGUUUUUUUUUAGUAGAGAUGGAGUUCCGCCAUGUUGGCCAGGCUGGUCUCAAACUCCUGACCUCAGGUGAUCUGCCCGCCUCAGCCUCCCAAAGUGCUGGGAUUACAGGCAUGAGCCACCACACCCAGCCCCACAUAACUUUUAUUACAGUAUAUUAUUAUAACUGUUCAAUUUUAUUGUUGUUGUUAAUCUCUUACUGUGCUACAUUUAUAAACCUUAUCAUAGGUAUGUAUACAUUAUAGGAAAAAAAAUUAUGUAUAGGAUUUGGUACUACCUGAGGUUUCAGGCAUCCACUGGGGGUCUUGGAAUGUAUCCCCUAUGGUUAAGGGAGAAUGACUACAAACCAACGAACUGCUACUUAGCAAGAGGAAGGCAUCAGGGCAGUAGCUCCUCUGGGAAUAGUAAAGCACUUCUUUCUCCUGCUGCCCUGUGAAGAAGGACGUGUUUGCAUCCCCUUCCACCAUGAUUGUGAGUUUCCUGAGGCCUUCCCAGCCAUGUGGAACUCCAUGUAAGACGAGCCCGCUUCCCCUUUGCCUUCCACCAUGAUUUUAAGUUUCCUGAGACCUCCCCAGAAGCCAAGCAGAUGCCAGAAUCAUGCUUUCUGUACAGCCUGUGGAACUGUGAGCCAAUUAAAUUUCUUCUAUUUAUAAAUUACCUAGACUCAGGUAUUUCUUUGUAGCAAUGCAAGAAUGGACUAAUACAACCAUUGUGUGUCUAGUACCUAGAAACCACCAGGCAUAUAAUAAGUGUUCAAUAAAUAUUUACUAAAAUAUACAAGUGAAGUCAUAUUUUUUCUCAUCAAUCCCACAUGGAGCAAAUCAAGACAAAAUAGAACUACCAAAAGCCAGGCAGCAGCGGGAAAUAUUAAAUGAGGUUUUCCAUUGAUCAAUGCUGUAUCCCAUUUCUAUUAAAUACAUAUCACUUUGCAAGGCACUGUGUUUAAACUGUUAUUGCUGUUGCCACUGUGGGAAAACAAUGGUGAAUGUCAGUCCACAGGUAUGAUCUUAGAUCCACUCAGCCCAGUGGUGCCAGUAAGAUCAGAUGAGAGGAUAUACCCAAUGAGCAUCUUUCAGGAAGGCAACAACUACACUCAUGCAUAGAGGGAUUGCUUUCAUGAUU